GAUGAAAUUCAAGAUUUUCACACUAAGCUGCAUCCCAAUCUUUUUUUCUUUUUAAUUUCAUUUUGAAUUUCAAGGAAGGGUCUCUUGAAGUCUCUGAGUUACUUGGGAUAGCCUUGAAUUUCUGAUUCUCCUGCCUCAACCUAUCAGAGUACUGGGAUCACAGGUGUGUCCCACCACACCCAACUCAUUUUUUUCUUUCUUGCAAAGUGUUUUGCUUCAAUUGCUUUGGUGUUACUUUGAGGUUUAUUUUCUCCACCUGCAAACAGCUCCCAAGGCAUUGCCAGCCUGCACGGUUACUAAUGAUUUUACUGCUUCUGAUCAGGCACAUACUAAGUUUCCUCACCCCGCACACUACAUUCUGCUACAGCUGAAGUGCUUGGAAAACCCAGUGGAGGGAAUCUUUUUUGGAUGAUAAAAUCCUGUUGAUACUAGGAGGUAUCACUUCACUGCAUUUGCCUUUCUGUGCCACUUGCUCUUUGUCCUGAAAAUGCGGCAGCCACCUUACAACAUGAGAAGCCUUUGCUGCAUGCUAAUGAUGGUGACACCAAGGGUAAGUUCUGGCACCAAGGAAUGGAAGAAGAAAAGGACGGAUCCAGAACCCAAGGAAGUCACCUCUGAAAAACUGAAAUUAAAACAAAUCAUAAAGGAGGAGGAGAAAACAACCAUGCAUGUGCACAGAAGUGACAGAGCAUCACAGCAGAAAGACAAGCAUGUACAAAGGACCUAAACAUGGAGACAAAAGCACGAUACAUUCGAGGAAGAGCAAAGACGAUAAGGACAAAUGAACCAUUUUUAUGAGUUGAAUAUGUGUGGAGUUGUAACAUUUCUCAUGAGAAUCAACUCUUUCUCUCAGAAGAUGAAGACUCUGCAAGGAUGGAGACACCAAUGGAAAGAGUUGGCAUGCUUGAGUCACCUCCUGGAGGGCAGCCACAUAGAAGUGUCACUUGUCUCUCUUAGUACAGAUGUGGGAAAUACAUUUUCAUUGUGAUUAUUGAGUCUUAGUGUUAUAGAAUAUUGGGAGUUUUAAAAAAAUCCUAAUGUAGCUUCCUUUAUUAUGCUUUAGCCUCAAGGUUUUUUAAAUUCAGGUUUUCUAUCAUAUUAAACUCUUAAUCUGCUAUAAGAUCUUUACACAUAAUAUUUUCAACGUAAGGAAUGCUUAUUCAUCUACUGCUUAUCUAAUUAAUUCCUGGUCAUUUUCAGGUUAAUUCCUGCCCAUUUUCUAGAUAUCAUUUUACAUCUAUAAUCUGUAUUAGAUUUUCUUAUUGUACUUACAGAAGGCAUUUAUUUCAUCAUACACAUUAAAAUUUGUAUGUUAUGGUCGGAGAUGUAACUCAGUGGCAUAGUACCUGCUUGGCAAGUGUGAGGUCCUAAGUUCUAUUCCAGGUACAAAACAAAAAUUUUAGUUGGUAUUGUACUAAAGUAUGAAAAAAAUAAAGUAAAAAAAUUCCAA